CACACUCUUAAGGCGGGAUCACAUGAUUGCCGCAAUGCGCCAAUUAUUGGUGCAUUUUAUAUGCCAAUCGUGUGAUUGCACAAUUUAUUGUCCAAUGCGACAAUCAAAAAUAAAUUGUGCUGAUUUGCGGCAAUCAAAUACAACUCUGUGCGUCAAUCAAAGAAGACAAUACGCGUCAAUAACCUGAUUUUUUUUAAAUAAUAUUUUUUCUUGUGUUUGUACCGUCAACAUUUCUUUGUCCUUUAAUAUGGAAUUCGGUGAUUGCAUUGUAUACGAAAAUUCAGCUGAGCUUGAGUUCUUUUCCCCCGAUCAGCAACCAGAAACACCUGUGCCGAAAAAAAGAAAAAAACCAAGUGUAAUUUGUUCCUGGACCUACACUGCAAUACAGGAGCUGAUACAAGCUGUGGAACAGCAUCCAUGUGUUUGGCAGUAUUCAUCCACCGAGUACAAAGAUAGGAAUAAACGGGAGCAGGCAUGGCGGGAAAUUGAAAAAAUGUGUACAGGGCACACGGUGGAAGACUGCAAGGCC